ensembl:lncRNA novel transcript
AAACAGUCCCAUGCUGGGGUGCCGGAGGUUAGGGCUUCAACAUAGGAUUGCAGGGGACAGGACACAGAAUGUGACACCAGGCAGGCAAUGUGUGUCCCUCAGGGGGCCUGGGUUCCGGGAAUCUGCACCCAGAUUGCACACCCCAUGGAGCAGGAGCACUUCCCGACAAGAAACUUGGCACAGGUCCAAUGGUUGGGGCUGGUGUCCUGCCGUCCUGGGUGGUAAAGGAAUUUACCGAGACGGUCCCAGGACACUCCUGAGCCUGGGUGGACGUGCUCGGGUGCUAUAAUGGGAGCAAAAACGGAUGCAACAGGCUGAAGAGCAGUUUGGGAGCCUCAGGUGAAGAUGCUGAGACCCAGGGAGGCAGUUUCCCGGAAACAACCUAAAUGCCCAGCAGCAGACAAAGGGCAUAUUGAGAAAAACAUCAGCAACAACUCUGGCAAAGCCUUAAUAUCCUCCACGUUUAAGGAGCAUUUAUCCACCACCAGGAGACAAAUGGUUUGAAUGGCCUUUUCCUUCACUUCCAUGAGGUCCCUGGAGGCACAGGACAGACCCGCAAACAGGAAGAGCAGUGGGGCAGGCCACAGGCUGGCACCCAGCACCCAGCCCAGCAGGCGAGUUCUAUUUAAACGAAGAAAGAAAGCACAUUCCAGAUCCUUUUGUUCAUCCAGAGACUUCAGGUAAAAAUUGAGGCAAUUAAAUUAUGCAUCCUGGCGGCUUUCUCUCACCGUCAGCACGAGUCGAGAUUUUUUUUUUUUUGAGAAGUAAAACAUGAAAUUCAAAA